UACAGAGGGGGGCAAGCGUUGUUCGGAAUUACUGGGCGUAAAGGGCGCGUAGGCGGCCUUCUAAGUCGAACGUGAAAUCCCCGGGCUCAACCCGGGAACUGCGUCCGAUACUGGGAGGCUUGGAAUCCGGGAGAGGGAUGUGGAAUUCCAGGUGUAGCGGUGAAAUGCGUAGAUAUCUGGAGGAACACCGGUGGCGAAGGCAAGUCCCCCUGGGACCUGUACUGACGCUCAUGCACGAAAGCGUGGGGAGCAAACAGG
rnacentral:rRNA from 1 species